GGAUUAGAUACCCUGGUAGUCCACGCUGUAAACGAUGUCUACUUGGAGGUUGGUGUCUUGAAUACUGGCUUUCGAAGCUAACGCGUUAAGUAGACCGCCUGGGGAGUACGGUCGCAAGAUUAAAACUCAAAUGAAUUGACGGGGGCCCGCACAAGCGGUGGAGCAUGUGGUUUAAUUCGAUGCAACGCGAAGAACCUUACCUACUCUUGACAUCCAGAGAAUCCUUUAGAGAUAGAGGAGUGCCUUCGGGAACUCUGAGACAGGUGCUGCAUGGCUGUCGUCAGCUCGUGCCG
rnacentral:rRNA from 1 species